rnacentral:rRNA from 1 species
CCUACGGGUGGCAGCAGUGGGGAAUAUUGGACAAUGGGGGGAACCCUGAUCCAGCCAUGCCGCGUGUGUGAAGAAGGCCCUCGGGUUGUAAAGCACUUUCAGUGAGGAAGAACGCCUGGUGGUUAAUACCCAUCAGGAAAGACAUCACUCACAGAAGAAGCACCGGCUAACUCCGUGCCAGCAGCCGCGGUAAUACGGAGGGUGCGAGCGUUAAUCGGAAUUACUGGGCGUAAAGCGCGCGUAGGUGGCUUGAUAAGCCGGUUGUGAAAGCCCCGGGCUCAACCUGGGAACGGCAUCCGGAACUGUCAAGCUGGAGUGCAGGAGAGGAAGGUAGAAUUCCCGGUGUAGCGGUGAAAUGCGUAGAGAUCGGGAGGAAUACCAGUGGCGAAGGCGGCCUUCUGGACUGACACUGACACUGAGGUGCGAAAGCGUGGGUAGCAAACAGGAUUAGAUACCCCAGUAGUC